UAGCGUGGCCAUGGGAUCUCCAGCUGUACGCAAGAGCAACCUGGAGAGACAUUGACAGCACAGGUCAGAUCAAUGCCUGCAGCUGCCUGUCGCCUUUCCUAUAAUG
ensembl:snoRNA